GGGUCCUCACCCGGAAACGGGCGCAAUCCUCACACCUGGAAGGCGGGCUGCUGCGUGCGGUGUUCGGCAAUGAGCGUCCUCGUGAGGGCCGGCGUCUGGCCGCUGAGAGCCGCGCGCGCAGUCAUUCCGUGUUUUUGGAGAGGAAAGUACUUCAGCUCCGGGAAGGAACCUGCAGAAAACAACCUGGUGACUCCUAUGCUGCGACAUCUUAUAUACAAAAUUAAGUCUACUGGUCCCAUCACCGUGGCCGAGUACAUGAAGGAGGUCUUGACCAACCCAGCCAAGGGAUAUUAUGUGCACCGUGACAUGCUAGGAGAAGAAGGAGAUUUUAUUACUUCACCUGAAAUAAGUCAGAUCUUUGGGGAGCUUCUAGGAAUAUGGUUCAUUAGUGAAUGGAUAGCCACUGGAAAAACUGCAGCUUUCCAACUGGUGGAACUGGGCCCAGGCAGGGGUACCCUCUCAGGAGAUAUUUUGAGGGUGUUUAGUCAGCUUGGAUCUGUGCUGAAAAACUGUGACAUUUCAGUACAUCUGGUAGAGGUGAGCCAAAAAUUAAGUGAGAUUCAAGCAUUAACAUUGACUGAAGAGAAGGUCCCAUUAGAGCGAGAUGCUGGAGCCCCAGUAUACAUGAAAGGUGUCACUAAGUCUGGAAUUCCAAUUUCCUGGUACCGAGAUCUGCAGGAUAUUCCAAAAGGGUUCAGCUUUUAUCUUGCACAUGAAUUUUUUGAUGUUCUUCCUGUGCAUAAGUUUCAGAAGACACCACAUGGAUGGCGAGAGGUCCUCAUUGAUAUUGAUCCACAUGUGUCUGAUAAGCUGAGGUUUGUUUUGGCACCUUGUGCCACCCCAGCAGAAGCCUUCAUACAAUGUGAUGAAACAAGGGAUCACGUGGAAGUGUGUCCUGAUGCAGGUGUUAUUAUUCAGGAACUUUCUGAACGCAUUGCAGUAACUGGAGGUGCUGCUCUGAUUGCUGAUUAUGGUCAUGAUGGAACGAAGACCGAUACCUUCAGAGGGUUUUGUGGCCACAAGCUUCACGAUGUCCUGAUUGCCCCAGGAACAGCAGACCUAACAGCUGACGUGGACUUCAGUUACUUGCGCCGAAUGGCACAGGGAAAAGUAGCUUCUCUGGGUCCAAUACAACAGCAAACAUUUUUAAAAAAUAUGGGCAUUGAUGUCCGGCUGAAGGUUCUUUUAGAUAAAUCAGAUGAACCAUCAUUGAGGCAGCAGUUACUUCAGGGAUAUGAUAUGUUAAUGAACCCUAAGGAGAUGGGAGAAAGAUUUAACUUUUUUGCCUUGCUACCUCAUCAGAGACUUCAUGGUAGGAAUCAUCAGAUAAAUGCAUUGCAGUCAGAACCCUCUCCAUCACCUGUCGCUGGGUUUAGUGAACUUGUUUGGCGGUGAUACUUCAAUUUGGACUUUUUACCCCCAAGUCUGCCUAAGAAACCAGAAUAAAGAGAACAUAUGUAUCACAGAUGACAACCUACGGAGAACAAAAGUUGUGCAGGAAGUAUCAGUCCAUAACAUGAAAUCCUUCCUUGCUGAAGUUAGCUCACUGAUAACUAAGGAUCUUCUUCCAUGUCAUCUGGAUUGGGAGCCAUAAUGAAGUGCUUUGGGUAUACAAGGUUGUGUGUGUAUGCAUGGAUUUCCCAGCGGGCAUCAUCACUUUCAUGUGUAAUGUAACGUUCACCAAUGCGAGUUUCAAAUUCUCUAAGAUCAAGCCAAGUCUGAUAGUCCUAGAAAAAAAAUUGAAGUGAUUAUGAACCAUAAAAGAAACAAGUUACUGUCAACCUUUUUUUUUUUUGCUCAGCACCCUAGUCAUAUAAUUGGCAGCCCCUCCUCCUAAGCACUUGUUAUACAAUAAGUUCUAUUUUGUAAUAUUUUAAAUUAUCAAUGUUAAGUUAAAGAUAAAUGCUUUUUCAAAUUUAGAGUCUCAUGAAGAAAGUAGCUAGUUUAUAAAACUUAAAAAGUUGCCUUAGGCUUCUGAGGUGGCUAAUAACAACCACUAAAAUAUUUUGUUCUAUAUAAUGAGAGGCCUAUGCCUUACUCCUAAAAAUAGGGGAAAAUGAUUAGAAUCUAUCAUCAGGAUAAUGUAAUAAAUGCUGAGACAAAUCAUGAUUACAUCUGUUUUGAAGUUACUUCUACUACUCCCUUUAAAAGAGCUCUGAAGCUUUUCACUUUACUCUGACGUUUGGGUUAUGUUUUUGACAAAACUAUGCAAUAGCUUUUGGGGGGAUUAAGUCGAACAUUUAAAAUGGUGUAUCUGAUCUCGUCAAUGCAAAUAUAAACCUUUCAGUUGACAUUUUCAGAGUAAAAUAUAUUUGACA